rnacentral:lncRNA from 10 species
CACAGCACACCUGAAGAGCUCCAAGUACUUCCCUUAUCUGCAGAAUGAAAGCAGAAAGCUUUUGACAGAUGGGGCGGGCCAGAAGCCAGAUCACAAAGGUAACAUUAUGUUAAUUAAGUUUUGCACAGAGGUAAUGGGAGAUGAGGAGAUGAGUCCAGAGGGAGGAGUGCAGUGGCAGGAAGAUACCGGCCUGCCCUGAGGCAAGGGCUCUGGGACCGGACAUGCAGAGUCAAGAGAUAUUCAGAAGGAAAAAUGACCAGACUUUGUGAUUAACUGAUUGAGAGACAGGCAGAUUACAGCAGGAAAAAACAAAGGAGGUUAGGUUAGCUCCAGUGGCUUUGCUCUUGGAUGGCCAGCUGGACAAUGGCUCCCUUCACUGUGCCGGAAGAUAGGAGAAGGAAAGUAAGUUGUAGGGACAAGCCUACAAGCCGAUGAGGUCAAUACUGGAUCGGGUAAAAGUGAGCUAAGUGAAAGACUCUUAGGCAGAGAUGGCAGGUAGGAUUUUAGGGGUGAUCUUUUUCAAACAGGGAAAUUUGUGCCCAAAGAGGUUACGGGAAUCAGUCGACUCCACAUAGCUGAUGAGUGGCAGAAAGGAACUCAAGGCCCAGCUGUGCCCAGGUAUGCUACUCUAGUCCAGGGCUCUUUUCACUACACCCUCUGCCUUCACCUUCCGCCCUCCUGCCUUGCAGCAACAGCUCGAGAUAAGGUCUCCACCACACAGUCACUGGCUGGCUUAAAGAUGGAAGGAGCCACAUGGCAAGGAAGUGGGUGACCUUAGAGACUGACAGCAGCCCCCAUCUGACAGCAAGCAAAGAAAUGGAGACCUCAGUUCCACAAGCUCAAGCAACUAAUUUCUGUCACCUAAGAGAAUGAACUUGGAAGUGGAUUUUCCACCAGGGUCUCCAUUUGAGAACUCAGUACGGACAAUAUCUUGAUUUCAGUCUUCUUGAGCAGAAUCCAGUCAUGCUGUGAAGGACUUCUGACCUACAGAGCUGGGCUAAUGAAUGGGUAUUAUUUUAAGCCUCUAAACUUGUUAUUUGUUACCCAGCAAUAGAAAACUAAUACAGGGAAGAAAUAAGAAAGAUGUUUGUAAUUUGAUUCUCCAUAGUCAGGCACAUGGAAAAGUAAACUCUUUCUUCCUACUUCUAAAAGCCAAAUUCAUACACCCUCAGGCUAUGUGUGAUUUGCCUAAGCAGUCAUAUAAAGCUAUUUUAUGCUUUCAACAAAUAUUUAUUGACCUUCAGGUGAUACCUUGGGAACUGUGUAUGUAGGAAUGAGUAAAAAUAUUGGAAUUUGAUAUUUUAACAUUUUAAACUAGUUGGACCAUUAGAGAACUAGUAGAAGUUCUUACCAAAAAGAAAAGAAUGACUUAUGACAGCAGUCCCCAAUCUUCUGGGCACCAGGGACCAUUAGAGAAGUGGAAGUAUAGCAUUUUAAAUGAUUUGGUUUAAAACUGGCAGCAUCAUCAUAGUGUAUGUCUGCCUAUAUUUUAAUAUAGAUGCAUAAUUUAUUUUUAUAACAACUUUUAUAAUUUAUUGGCAGUGUGUAUGUUUUUGAUAACUGAUAUGGUUUGGCUGUGUCCUCACCCAAAUCUCAUCUUGAAUUUUAACUCCCACAAUUCCCACAUGUCAUGGGAGGAACCCAGUGGAAGGUGAUUGAAUUAUGGGAGUGGGUCUUUCCUGCACUGUUCUCAUGAUAGUGAAUGAGUCUCAUGAGACUGAUGGUUUCAAAAAGGGGAGUUUCCCUGAACAGGCUCUCUUCUCUUGCCUGCCACCAUGUGAGACAUGCCUUUCACUUUCCACCAUGAUUGUGAGGUCUCCCCAGCCACAUGAAACUGUAAGUCCAAUAAACCUCUUUCUUUUGUAAAUUGCUCAGUCUCAGGUAUGUCUUUAUCAGCAGUAUAAAAACAGACUAAUACAAUAACUU